CGCGCAGGUGGUUCUUUAAGUCUGAUGUGAAAGCCCACGGCUCAACCGUGGAGGGUCAUUGGAAACUGGGGAACUUGAGUGCAGAAGAGGAUAGUGGAAUUCCAAGUGUAGCGGUGAAAUGCGUAGAGAUUUGGAGGAACACCAGUGGCGAAGGCGACUAUCUGGUCUGUAACUGACACUGAGGCGCGAAAGCGUGGGGAGCAAACAGGAUUAGAUACCCUGGUAGUCCACGCCGUAAACGAUGAGUGCUAAGUGUUGGGGGGUUUCCGCCCCUCAGUGCUGCAGCUAACGCAUUAAGCACUCCGCCUGGGGAGUACGGUCGCAAGACUGAA
rnacentral:rRNA from 1 species